UGGCGGGAUGGUGUAGAGGUAACAUACCGGUCUUGUCUUCCGGCGCCGCUGGUUCGAUUCCAGCUCCCGCACCCA
rnacentral:tRNA from 1 species